CCAGAAUUCUCCAACCCAAAUGUGCUUCUUAGGUUUAUUUAUCCAGUCAUACCACAUGCCACACAGCUGCAAACUAUUUUGAGGUUUACUAGACACUCUUGUCGAGAAAUUUUUUCUUUCUUUUUGAUUUUCUGCCUCAUCUCACAUUGGGGACAAUUUACUAUGGCUGCAUUAAGUAUUUUCUGAACUAUUGCUGUUGCUAAAUAAUUCUGAUGUCUUUGAGGCAUGCUUCCCUCAAAAGUAGAUUUCCUUGAGGCUUUGGUUCAAUUAAUUUAGCAUAUUGAGCAUAUAAAUUGACACAAACAACCACAGUUAUUAUUUUGUCCAAAAAGGCCUAGAAGUCUAGGUGAAGCAGGGAACGAGGCACACAAUUGGCUGCUUUCACGGGGAGUAGAUCUCAGUGGGAAAACCUAAAUGUAACAAAUAACAAAAUAAUAAAGAGACAGAGACCUCUAGAAGACAAUAGUAUACUGAUAAAGAAUGUCUGUAUGUUUCCUUUCUUGGAAGGACUGCUUUGAAGAAGCUAGAGAAGCAUACUUUACAUCAAGAAGUAGUAGAUCUCCUACACUCUAUUUCUCAAGUGGAAGGUUUAGAGAGAAAGGAUGAGGAAUGGAUGAAGUGGGGAGAUAAAGCAACGGGGCAGUCAAGGAGACGACAAUGAACAUAAUAGCCAGCGAGGAGGAGGAAUGGAGCACCAAGUGUCACAGGGAGAAUGCGUGCCGCGGAAAGGUCAGCACCAAAUGCAGCUCCAGUGUUUUAUACACUAUCAUUUGGGAGGUGCCUCCAGCCACAGGCUUGAAGCUGGUCUUGCUUGGAGAAGAUCCUUAUGAACUCGAUAAUUCCUGGAACUUGGUUUGUUUGUUUGUUUGUUUAGAAGUCAUACAGAAAAGGGAUAUGAGACACUGCAACAUGGCAUGCUUCCAUGGAAUCCAACCUUUGGAAACAGAAGAGAUCGAUGCAGAAAACUCUGUGUCUCCUGGAUCUUUGAGGUGGUGCAUGGACCAGUUAUUAAAUCAUUCCAGUGCAAAAAUUCAAUCUUCCAGGUUGGAUUACUUAUGA
rnacentral:lncRNA from 1 species